UACGAAGGGGGCUAGCGUUGCUCGGAAUUACUGGGCGUAAAGCGCACGUAGGCGGUCUUUUAAGUCGGGGGUGAAAUCCUGGAGCUCAACUCCAGAACUGCCUUCGAUACUGGAAGACUCGAGUCCGGGAGAGGUGAGUGGAACUGCGAGUGUAGAGGUGAAAUUCGUAGAUAUUCGGAAGAACACCAGUGGCGAAGGCGACUCACUGGACACGUAUUGACGCUGAGGUGCGAAAGCGUGGGGAGCGAACAGG
rnacentral:rRNA from 1 species